rnacentral:rRNA from 1 species
AUGGGGUCCAUCCUGUGCUGCCUGUGCGGUCCCGACGACGAUGACGAGGCGCCGGGUUGCUGCGCCUGCCUGCCAUGGCCAGCCAGAGCGUACACACGGGUUGCGCCGGUUCCUCCCGAGGCCUCCACCGGCUCAGGGCAGGAGGAUCCAUUGAACACCUUCCGCCCCCCUCCUAGGGCUCUACCUUACGAUGAUCCUCGGUUCAGACAUCACACGGAGAAAUCUAUUCUGCUCGGAGAGAGAAGCAAUGCUGACACCGGAUCGACUCGCGAUGGUGAUGAGAAGGCUGAUGGACCGUCAAUGGAAGCUCAGCCGGGAGGGGGGAAACCCAGGGGAACUCAAGUCUGUGUUGAUUGUGACGAGGAUGACUGCCCGAUAUGCCUUGAGGAGUAUGACUACGAGAAUCCGAAGAUACUGCUGCAAUGCAACCAUGAUUUCCAUCUUGGUUGCAUCUACGCGUGGAUGGAGAGAAGCCAGUCUUGCCCGGUCUGUGCCGUCGUAAUGGUGUUCAAAGAGGACCAAUGA